rnacentral:rRNA from 1 species
GCAGGCCUAACACAUGCAAGUCGAACGGUAGCACAGAGGAGCUUGCUCCUUGGGUGACGAGUGGCGGACGGGUGAGUAAUGUCUGGGAAACUGCCCGAUGGAGGGGGAUAACUACUGGAAACGGUAGCUAAUACCGCAUAACGUCGCAAGACCAAAGAGGGGGACCUUCGGGCCUCUUGCCAUCGGAUGUGCCCAGAUGGGAUUAGCUAGUAGGUGGGGUAACGGCUCACCUAGGCGACGAUCCCUAGCUGGUCUGAGAGGAUGACCAGCCACACUGGAACUGAGACACGGUCCAGACUCCUACGGGAGGCAGCAGUGGGGAAUAUUGCACAAUGGGCGCAAGCCUGAUGCAGCCAUGCCGCGUGUAUGAAGAAGGCCUUCGGGUUGUAAAGUACUUUCAGCGAGGAGGAAGGCGUUGUGGUUAAUAACCGCAACGAUUGACGUUACUCGCAGAAGAAGCACCGGCUAACUCCGUGCCAGCCGCCGCGGUAAAAGGG